CUCAAAUUUAAAAUCUGGCGGUUUUGCCGUCCGAGUUGUAAUCUGGAGAAGCGUUUUCCGCGUCAGACCGUGUACAAGUCUCUUGGAAUGGAGCGUCAUAGAGGGUGAGAAUCCCGUCCAUGACACGGACUCCUGAUGCUCUGUGAUACGCUCUCAAAGAGUCGAGUUGUUUGGGAAUGCAGCUCAAAAUGGGUGGUAAAUUCCAUCUAAAGCUAAAUAUUGGCGAGAGACCGAUAGCGAACAAGUACCGUGAGGGAAAGAUGAAAAGCACUUUGGAAAGAGAGUUAAACAGUACGUGAAAUUGUUGAAAGGGAAACGCUUGAAGUCAGUCGCGUCGUACGGAGCUCAGCCUUGCUUCUGCUUGGUGUAUUCUCCGUGUCGACGGGUCAACAUCAAUUUUGGCCGGUGGAAAAGGGCCUAGGGAAUGUGGCGUUGUUUCGGCGACGUGUUAUAGCCCUAGGUCGUAUGCAUCGGCUGGGAUUGAGGACCGCAGCACGCCCUUGUGGCCGGGGGUUCGCCCCACGUUUCGUGCUUAGGAUGUUGGCAAAAUGGCUUUAAGCGACCCGUCUUGAAACACGGACCAAGGAGUCUAACAUGCCUGCGAGUGUUCGGGUGGAAAACCCUUGCGCGUAAUGAAAGUGAAAGUUGGGAUCCCUCGAAAGGGGGUGCACCGUCGCCCGGCCCUGACGUUCUCUGACGGUGCUGCGGUAGAGCAUGUAUGUUGGGACCCGAAAGAUGGUGAACUAUGCCUGAAUAGGGUGAAGCCAGAGGAAACUCUGGUGGAGGCUCGUAGCGAUUCUGACGUGCAAAUCGAUCGUCAAAUUGGUA
rnacentral:rRNA from 1 species